CGGCUGGGUGGAAACGGAUAGAGCCAGCUUAGGCUACCUGUGUUCAGUCGGUGCACUUGCAGGUUUUGUGAGCUGAGGCGUGUAAGUGGUCGAGUUGAUGGCUUUCUAGAGGCGGGCGAACCUACGUCGUUCUGCUUGCCGCCGUGUCGUUUUGUCCUUUCACCCGCAUGCGGUGUGUUGGGCAGGAUGGUGCGUGCUAGGCUUGGACAACUUGGCAUUCCUCGGCUUGGAAGCUGGUCAUCUCUCCGACCCGUCUUGAAACACGGACCAAGGAGUUUAGCGUGUGCGCAAGCCAGUGGGUGUAAAAACCUAUGGGCGCAAUGAAAGUGAAGGCCACUGUUUUGUGGUUGACGUGCGAUCCCUAAGGCUUGCCGAUGGGAGCAGCAUGGUCCCGUUCCGAUCGCUUGCGAUGGGGCGGAGACAGAGUGUACGCGCUGAGACCCGAAAGAUGGUGAACUAUUCCUGAGCAGGACGAAGCCAGAGGAAACUCUGGUGGAAGUCCGAAGCGGUUCUGACGUGCAAAUCGAUCGUCU
rnacentral:rRNA from 1 species